rnacentral:rRNA from 1 species
UGAGGGAUAUUGCACAAUGGGCGAAAGCCUGAUGCAGCGACGCCGCGUGGGAGAAGAAGGCCUUCGGGUUGUAAAUCCCUUUUCUGCGUGACGAGGAAGGACGGUAGCGCAGGAAUAAGUCUCGGCUAACUACGUGCCAGCAGCCGCGGUAAAACGUAGGAGACAAACGUUAUCCGGAGUUACUGGGCGUAAAGGGCGUGCAGGUGGUUCGUUAAGUCUGGCGUGAAAGCCUCCGGCUCAACCGGGGAAAGUCGUCGGAGACUGACGAACUAGAGGGCAGUAGAGGCGUGUGGAAUUCCGGGUGUAGUGGUGAAAUGCGUAGAGAUCCGGAGGAACACCAGUGGCGAAGGCGACACGCUGGGCUGCACCUGACACUGAGACGCGACAGCAUGGGGAGCGA